UCUCCGUAGGUGAACCUGCGGAGGGAUCAUUACAGAGUUCAUGCCCUAACGGGUAGAUCUCCCACCCUAUGUUAUUAUUGCUUUGUUGCUUUGGCGGGCCGUUAGGCUCCGGCCCGACUACCGGCCCCGGCUGGUAAGCGCCCGCCAGAGGACCCAAAACCCUGAAUAUUAGUGUCGUCUGAGUACUAUAUAAUAGUUAAAACUUUCAACAACGGAUCUCUUGGUUCUG
rnacentral:misc_RNA from 1 species